rnacentral:rRNA from 1 species
UACGUAGGGGGCUAGCGUUGUCCGGAAUCAUUGGGCGUAAAGCGCGUGUAGGCGGUCCGGUAAGUCCGCUGUGAAAGUCGGGGGCUCAACCCUCGGAUGCCGGUGGAUACUGUCGGGCUUGAGUACGGAAGAGGCGAGUGGAGUUCCUGGUGUAGCGGUGAAAUGCGCAGAUAUCAGGAGGAACACCAAUUGCGAAGGCAGCUCGCUGGGACGUUACUGACGCUGAGACGCGAAAGCGUGGGGAGCGAACAGG